AGAGCGAACGCUGGCGGCAGGCUUAACACAUGCAAGUCGAGCGCUCGUAGCAAUACGAGAGCGGCAGACGGGAGAGUAACACGUGGGAACGUACCCUUUGGUUCGGAACAACACAGGGAAACUUGUGCUAAUACCGGAUACGACCACGGCCGACAUCUGCUGUGGUGGAAAGGAUUCCGGCUAAGGGUGGGCUCGCGGCCUAUCAGCUAGUUGGUGGAGUAACGGCCCACCAAGGCGACGACGGGUAGCCGGCCUGAGAGGGCGACCGGCCACACUGGGACUGAGACACGGCCCAGACUCCUACGGGAGGCAGCAGUGGGGAAUAUUGCGCAAUGGGCGAAAGCCUGACGCAGCGACGCCGCGUGGGGGAUGAAGGCCUUCGGGUUGUAACCCUUUCAGCAGGGACGAAGCGAAGUGACGGUACCUGCAGAAGAAGCGCCGGCUAACUACGUGCCAGCAGCCGCGA
rnacentral:rRNA from 1 species